AUUGAACGCUGGCGGUAUGCUUAACACAUGCAAGUCGAACGGCAGCAUGCUCUAGCUUGCUAGAGUGAUGGCGAGUGGCGGACGGGUGAGUAACGCGUAGGAAUCUACCUAUCGGUGGGGGAUAGCCCGGUGAAAACCGGAUUAAUACCGCAUACGACCUAAGGGUGAAACGGGGCCUCUUCUUGAAAGCUUCGACCGAUAGAUGAGCCUGCGUUAGAUUAGCUAGUUGGUAGGGUAAAGGCCUACCAAGGCGACGAUCUAUAGCUGUUCUGAGAGGAUGAUCAGCCACACUGGGACUGAGACACGGCCCAGACUCCUACGGGAGGCAGCAGUGGGGAAUAUUGGACAAUGGGCGAAAGCCUGAUCCAGCAAUACCGCGUGUGUGAAGAAGGGUUUCGGCUCGUAAAGCACUUUCAGUAGGGAGGAAAGGUUGGUGGUUAACUCCGUGCCAGCAGCCGCGGU
rnacentral:rRNA from 1 species